AAUCUAUGGUAUUGAUUAUUUGCAGUGAAUUGAUAAACCUUGUUAGGAACAAAAGGAGAAUAUAUUAAAAGCGCACAUAUUAAAAUCAAAUAAUUAUGGCCAUAUUAGAGAAGCAAGAUGAACUACCAGUAAAUUACAUUCCUGACAAUGCUGCAGGCCAAAUUGACAUUAAAGGAUCUAUUGAUGAAGUAAAUAUAAACAAUCCGAUUGGGAAUCAAUCUGAAGUGAUUGCAAUACAAGGUUACUUGACAGAGGCUGAUAUACUUUGCAUUAAGAUCAUUGAAGCUGUUGAGUGUGAGUCAUAUGUUCUGUGGUUUAUUGACUUCCUCAUCCAAAAGGAUCGGAAAAAAAAUUAUAACUAUUUAACUAGCUGUCUUUUAAUUGAUUAUCCUUGAAUGAAAUGUAACUACAAAUAUGAUGCAUUCCAUAAUUACUUAUUUGUCUAUACAUAAUAAUAACUUCAUGUAGCAUGUCUUAUCAAGUAUUUAAAAUAAUUGUUGUCACAACUUUUAUUGUUAGUACAGAAUUUACAAUCUGUUUAUUUUGUAUAUGUGUGUGUAUUCAUAUGACAAGUUAGAAUGAGACUAUAUAAAUAAAUGAAAACAAAGUAGUAAAUUGAAAGUCCAACAAACAAUUGAUCUCAAAAUGAUGUUUACAUGUCAAAUUUAUUUUCUGACUAUUCACUUUACUCUUUGUGUUGGUGUAAUGUAGGGAACAACUUUCUUAAUAUUAAUCAUUAAUUAUACUAAUGCCAAAUAAAAUGAUGCCAAAUUAUUAGUUCAUAUAGCACUGUAAACUCUUACUGUACUAAGGCACGAACUUGUGUGUAACUUAUUAUGAGAGAUGUAAUACUCGUUUGUAUUAGUUUCUAAAACAUUAUGAUCUACAUAUCUAUAAAUAAUUAAAUAAAGUAAUCAAUGUUAUAAU